rnacentral:sRNA from 1 species
AUUAAAAGUUUCAUAGAUUUUAGAAACACACAUAUAUAUAUAUAUAUAUAUACCACAUACAAUAACUCAUAAGUUAUCGUUUUAUCUAUUGUAUAAUCGUUAGUUUUCACUUUAUUAGAUCCUUUUUUUUUGAAUACCAGGAGAUUCUAGGCCGAAACCCGUAAUCCCCCAGGCCCGAAACCACAAUAUGUAAUAUUAGUUUCGUUUCAAGCGUCACUCGAACCGACAACUUCUAAGCUCCGGCUAGGAUCUUUACCAAUUGAGCUAAUGACACUUGCUUAUUUAAUCGCCGUUGCUCGACAUACCAUCGUUUUUGGACAA